rnacentral:tRNA from 1 species
AGAGGCUUAGGAUAAAAACAAACCAAGGGCCUUCAAAGCCCUAAACGAGGGUGAGAACCCCUCAGCCCCUG